AUUGAACGCUGGCGGCAUGCCUUACACAUGCAAGUCGAACGGUAGCGCGGGGCAACCUGGCGACGAGUGGCGAACGGGUGAGUAAAGCAUCGGAACGUGCCCUGGAAUGGGGGAUAACGUAGCGAAAGUUACGCUAAUACCGCAUAUUCUGUGAGCAGGAAAGCAGGGGAUCGCAAGACCUUGCGUUCUGGGAGCGGCCGAUGUCGGAUUAGCUAGUUGGUGAGGUAAAGGCUUACCAAGGCGACGAUCUGUAGCGGGUCUGAGAGGAUGAUCCGCCACACUGGAACUGAGACACGGUCCAGACUCCUACGGGAGGCAGCAGUGGGGAAUCUUGCGCAAUGGGCGAAAGCCUGACGCAGCGACGCCGCGUGGGUGAUGAAGGCCUUCGGGUCGUAAAGCUCUGUGGGGAGAGACGAAUAAGACGUGGCUAAUAUCCACGGCGAUGACGGUAUCUCCUUAGCAAGCACCGGCUAACUCUGUGCCAGCAGCC
rnacentral:rRNA from 1 species